ensembl:snoRNA SNORD19 small nucleolar RNA, C/D box 19
GAGGUAUGAGGAAAAUAUCUGAACAGUCUGAUUGUUGUUGAAGACUGGUAAGAUCCAACUCUGACCUCAGCAAAACC